CGAGCGAACGUAUUUGCGGAAGUUUUCGGAUGGAAGCGGAUGCGACUUAGCGGCGGACGGGUGAGUAACGCGUGGGUAACCUGCCUCAUACAGGGGGAUAACAGUUAGAAAUGACUGCUAAUACCGCAUAAGCGCACAGGACCGCAUGGUCUGGUGUGAAAAACUCCGGUGGUAUGAGAUGGACCCGCGUCUGAUUAGCUGGUUGGCGGGGUAACGGCCCACCAAGGCGACGAUCAGUAGCCGACCUGAGAGGGUGGCCGGCCACAUUGGGACUGAGACACGGCCCAAACUCCUACGGGAGGCAGCAGUGGGGAAUAUUGCACAAUGGGGGAAACCCUGAUGCAGCAACGCCGCGUGAGUGAAGAAGUAUUUCGGUAUGUAAAGCUCUAUCAGCAGGGAAGAAAAAAGACGGUACCUGACUAAGAAGCCCCGGCUAACUACGUGCCAGCAGCCGCGGUAAUACGUAGGGGGCAAGCGUUAUCCGGAUUUACUGGGUGUAAAGGGAGCGUAGACGGCAUAGCAAGUCUGAAGUGAAAGCCCGUGGCUCAACCGCGGAACUGCUUUGGAAACUGUUAAGCUGGAGUACUGGAGAGGCAAGCGGAAUUCCUAGUGUAGCGGUGAAAUGCGUAGAUAUUAGGAGGAACACCAGUGGCGAAGGCGGCUUGCUGGACAGAGACUGACGUUGAGGCUCGAAAGCGUGGGGAGCAAACAGGAUUAGAUACCCUGGUAGUCCACGCGGUAAACGAUGAAUGCUAGGUGUUGGCGGGCAAAGCCCGUCGGUGCCGUCGCAA
rnacentral:rRNA from 1 species